GUGAGUCACUCUGAGUUUGGAUGUGGUAAGGAUCAGAGCCAAACUAGGACCUGCAUUUAUGAUCUCGAGGGAAACUGAGGAACACGGCAGGAAAAUGACUUACCUAGCAUCAUCCAGCCAAUCAGUGGGAGAGCCAGAACCGGAUCGCCGCUAUCACAGCCUCCAGGCUAGUGGUCUGACCGCUAAACCACACAGCCUCUUUUUUUAGGGUUUGUUGGCUUGGUUUUUUAUUUAUUUAUUUUUCCUUUUGCUCUGCCCUGCCAGUAACUGGAAGCUCCCAGAUAAAAGAAGAGAAUUUCAAGUCCAGGCUGAACAUUUGACAUCCUCUUAUUUGUGGAGCGUUAUCCUGGACUUGGAGGGUGCUGCUGUUGGGCUCUGUGUGGUGGAGCUGGGAACCAGCCCCAAGAAUAUAGCUUUGUUUGGGCAUUAA